rnacentral:rRNA from 1 species
UACGUAGGGAGCGAGCGUUAUCCGGAUUUAUUGGGCGUAAAGGGUGCGUAGGUGGCUUGUCAAGUUGAAGGUUAAAGCGUACGGCUCAACCGUAUAAAGCCUUAGAUACUGGAAAACUUGAGUACAGGAGAGGAUAGUGGAAUUCUAUGUGUAGCGGUAAAAUGCGUAGAUAUAUGGAGGAACACCGGUGGCGAAGGCGGCUACCUAGACAGAGACUGACGCUGAUGCACGAAAGCGUGGGGAGCAAACAGG